GAUGAACGCUGGCGGCGUGCCUAAUACAUGCAAGUCGAGCGAACAGACGAGGAGCUUGCUCCUCUGACGUUAGCGGCGGACGGGUGAGUAACACGUGGAUAACCUACCUAUAGACUGGGAUAACUUCGGGAAACCGGAGCUAAUACCGGAUAAUAUAUUGAACCGCAUGGUUCAAUAGUGAAAGACGGUUUUGCUGUCACUUAUAGAUGGAUCCGCGCCGCAUUAGCUAGUUGGUAAGGUAACGGCUUACCAAGGCAACGAUGCGUAGCCGACCUGAGAGGGUGAUCGGCCACACUGGAACUGAGACACGGUCCAGACUCCUACGGGAGGCAGCAGUAGGGAAUCUUCCGCAAUGGGCGAAAGCUUGACGGAGCAACGCCGCGUGAGUGAUGAAGGUCUUCGGAUCGUAAAACUCUGUUAUUAGGGAAGAACAAAUGUGUAAGUAACUAUGCACGUCUUGACGGUACCUAAUCAGAAAGCCACGGCUAACUACGUG
rnacentral:rRNA from 1 species